rnacentral:rRNA from 1 species
UAGGGAAUAUUGCGCAAUGGGCGAAAGCCUGACGCAGCAAUGCCGCGUGAGUGAGGACGGCCUUCGGGUUGUAAAGCUCUGUCAUAUGGGAAGAACAAGUUGAUGGUUAAUACCCAUCAGCCCUGACGGUACCAUAGAAGGAAGCACCGGCUAACUUCGUGCCAGCAGCCGCGGUAAUACGAAGGGUGCAAGCGUUGUUCGGAUUUAUUGGGCGUAAAGCGCGCGCAGGCGGAUGUGCAAGUCAGAUGUGAAAUCUCGGGGCUCAACCCCGAAACUGCGUCUGAAACUGUUCAUCUAGAAUCAUAUAGGGGGUAGGGGAAUUUCACAUGUAGGGGUAAAAUCCGUAGAGAUGUGAAGGAACACCGGAGGCGAAGGCGCCUACCUGGAUAUGUAUUGACGCUGAGGCGCGAAAGCGUGGGGAGCAAACAGG